AACGAACGCUGGCGGCAUGCCUAACACAUGCAAGUCGAACGAGACCUUCGGGUCUAGUGGCGCACGGGUGCGUAACGCGUGGGAACCUGCCCUUAGGUUCGGAAUAACUCCCCGAAAGGGGUGCUAAUACCGGAUAAUGUCUUCGGACCAAAGAUUUAUCGCCUUUGGAUGGGCCCGCGUUGGAUUAGCUAGUUGGUAGGGUAAAAGCCUACCAAGGCGACGAUCCAUAGCUGGUCUGAGAGGAUGAUCAGCCACACUGGGACUGAGACACGGCCCAGACUCCUACGGGAAGCAGCAGUGGGGAAUAAUGGACAAUGGGCGAAAGCCUGAUCCAGCAAUGCCGCGUGAGUGAUGAAGGCCUUAGGGUUGUAAAGCUCUUUUACCCGGGAUGAUAAUGACAGUACCGGGAGAAUAAGCUCCGGCUAACUCCGUG
rnacentral:rRNA from 1 species